rnacentral:rRNA from 1 species
AUUGAACGCUGGCGGCAUGCCUUACGCAUGCAAGUCGAACGGUAACAGGUUAAGCUGACGAGUGGCGAACGGGUGAGUAAUGUAUCGGAACGUGCCCAGUCGUGGGGGAUAACUGCUCGAAAGAGCAGCUAAUACCGCAUACGACCUGAGGGUGAAAGCGGGGGAUCGCAAGACCUCGCGCGAUUGGAGCGGCCGAUAUCAGAUUAGGUAGUUGGUGAGGUAAAGGCUCACCAAGCCGACGAUCUGUAGCUGGUCUGAGAGGACGACCAGCCACACUGGGACUGAGACACGGCCCAGACUCCUACGGGAGGCAGCAGUGGGGAAUUUUGGACAAUGGGCGCAAGCCUGAUCCAGCCAUGCCGCGUGCGGGAAGAAGGCCUUCGGGUUGUAAACCGCUUUUGUCAGGGAAGAAAAGGUUCUGGCUAAUACCUGAGACUCAUGACGGUACCUGAAGAAUAAGCACCGGCUAACUACGUG